rnacentral:rRNA from 1 species
AGGAUGAACGCUGGCGGCGUGCUUAACACAUGCAAGUCAAGGGGGCCCAGCAAUGGGCAACCGGCGAACGGGUGCGUAACACGUGAGCAACCUACCGAAAUGUGGGGGAUAGCCGGCCUAACGGCCGAGUAAUACCGCAUACGCUCUCGAUGAGGCAUUUCAUUGAGAGGAAACCUACGGGACAUUUCGAGGGGCUCGCGGCCUAUCAGCUAGUUGGAGAGGUAACGGCUCACCAAGGCAACGACGGGUAGC